rnacentral:rRNA from 1 species
GACGAACGCUGGCGGCGUGCUUAACACAUGCAAGUCGAACGGUAAGGCCCUUCGGGGUACACGAGUGGCGAACGGGUGAGUAACACGUGGGUGAUCUGCCCUGCACUUCGGGAUAAGCCUGGGAAACUGGGUCUAAUACCGGAUAGGACCACUGCUGACAUGGGUGGUGGUGGAGAGCUUUUGCGGUGUGGGAUGGGCCCGCGGCCUAUCAGCUUGUUGGUGGGGUGAUGGCCUACCAAGGCGACGACGGGUAGCCGGCCUGAGAGGGGGACCGGCCACACUGGGACUGAGAUACGGCCCAGACUCCUACGGGAGGCAGCAGUGGGGAAUAUUGCACAAUGGGCGCAAGCCUGAUGCAGCGACGCCGCGUGAGGGAUGACGGCCUUCGGGUUGUAAACCUCUUUCAGCACCGACGAAGCGCAAGUGACGGUAGGUGCAGAAGAAGGACCGGCCAACUACGUGCCAGCCGCCGCCGUAA